ACUCUUCUUUGCUGACAAUAUGUAAAGCAGCAACUUCCGCAAUGUGGCUACUUGCAGUUUUGCUGGGGAUCACUUUACCGGUGCAUGGCGAUGAAGCAAUGCCACUGGGGAAUAUAUGGCGAGAACUGCGACAGGACCUGCCCCUCCAACUGUUACACUGACCCACGGAGAAACCUCAUACACUGUCACCAGAACACAGGGAAAUGUUCUGAGGGAUGUGUUCGUGGUUUCCAUGGCGACCAGUGUAAUAUAUCCUGCAGCGGAGGCUGUUUAAACGAAACCUGCAAUAACGGAGAUGGAUAUUGUACGUUAGGUUGUAAAGAGACCUACAUCGGGGAUUUCUGCAAUGAGACUUCAGGUACAGUAAUUCAUGCAGGACCUGAACUUUCUUAACUUCUUUAACUUAUGAGACAAUAAAUAGAAAAUCAUAAAUAUGCAUUUCAUAUAUUACUUCUUGGUAGGUAGGUACGUAAGUCCCAAAACAUUUCAAGUAUAUUUAAGUUUAACAGGAUUUUAAUCGUAGUAGUUUUGUCAUUUUAAUGUAUGGCUAAAUCUCAGCAUAAAUGCCA